CGCAGCAGGACCAAUGACAAUCUGUUUCCUCUUACUAAUUAUUGACAAUGACCAUCAUGGCGACCUCCACGUGUUGACAUUUGAGUUAUUUUAUUUUACGUUAAAUCCGUGAUUAAAAGACGCCCACUAGAAGGGAACAGAUUAUUAUAACUCAACCUGACCGAAGGGUCAAGUUCCAGCAGCUAUUUUCCGACGGUGGUAAAGCAUGAGGUUCUCUGGAACGUUCGUUAGAAUCGACGUUGGCGAACCAAAGUGUAAGACAAACGAUUUGAUGGAUGAAACAAAGUGAAAGCCAACGGAGUGCUGCUUUGCAGUGAUGCGAAAUGGACGAACGUGCGAUAAAUAUUUUUUUAGAAUCCACUCCUCAGCAGUCGACAGCAAUGAGCCUUGAAAGAAUCAGCACAAAGAUCUGUAAUACCAUGCUGGGAGACACCACGGACAGUUUCCGGUUUAACAACCACCUCAUCAGUGCUGCCAUGCUGUGGAGCGAUCACUCUGAAAAAUACAAGAUUGCAUUUUAGAAAUAACACCAUGUCCCACCAUGAAGGGUUGCUGAGUGAUAGCAUGAAACUGAGAACUGACCUUGUCAUAUCUACAGCGAAGUACCAAUGCAUUUGUGUGGCAGUUAAGACCUUUGUCAUCACACCUGUGGUAAUGGCAGGAGCUUCUCAAGAAAAGAUGACCAAUCGACUUUAAUCACAAAGUCACUUUUUUUAAAGAAUCAAUUUGUGUAGUUUUUGUAUCCAAUGUUUGAAGUACUUUAGCCUUAAAGCUUUGAAUUCUGGUGUAUACGGGAUUGUUUUUUUAUGCUUAACAUAGGAAUCACUGUGUUGUCCUUGAUCUGUGUUCAGCGGCUACCACUGACAGACUGCAGCUCCACUUGCACUUUUUUUUUUGCUACCAUAGUUUUUCUAUAUGCUUACUGCUGGAAAAUGCCAAAAAUGAUCGUGGGACGGUGCAUGUAUACUUGGACUGUAGAAGGAACUCUGGAAAAUUACGAUUCCAAAACUGUAUAAAACGAAACAUUACAUUUAGCAUGCUGCUGUGAGAUACAAUAAAACUAAGUUAACACC